GACGAACGCUGGCGGCGCGCCUAACACAUGCAAGUCGAACGAGAGAUGAGGAGCUUGCUCUUCAGAUCGAGUGGCGAACGGGUGAGUAACGCGUGAGGAACCUGCCUCAAAGAGGGGGACAACAGUUGGAAACGACUGCUAAUACCGCAUAAGCCCACGGCUCGGCAUCGAGCAGGGGGAAAAGGAGCAAUCCGCUUUGAGAUGGCCUCGCGUCCGAUUAGCUAGUUGGUGAGGUAACAGCCCACCAAGGCGACGAUCGGUAGCCGGACUGAGAGGUUGAACGGCCACAUUGGGACUGAGACACGGCCCAGACUCCUACGGGAGGCAGCAGUGGGGAAUAUUGCACAAUGGGGGGAAACCCCUGAUGCAGCGACGCCGCGUGGAGGAAGAAGGUCUUCGGAUUGUAAACUCCUGUUGUUGAGGAAGAUAAUGACGGUACUCAACAAGGAAGUGAACGGCUAACUACGUG
rnacentral:rRNA from 1 species